GGGGGCGAAAAGGUCUCGACCUGGGUAAGGACGAGAGAGGUAGCAUGCCGAGGUUGCAAGGUGGCCUCGUAAAAAACCUUGCACUAUUUAAAUGCUGAUGAAACAACAGUAGUUGCUCAAGCGGAAGGAAUUCUUGCUGGAGUAGCUUAAUCAGACAAAAGUCCUUGUUGGUUAAUCCCAAUGAGGCCUUCAUCCAGAGAGUCUGCGCUCUGGAUGUAUGAAUUUAGCAGACUGGUUCUUGUUAUGCCUCUUAGACAAGAGCGAGAUUUAAAGAGGCUGGCCUUUCUUUAUCUUGUCCAUUGGAGAAAGAAAGGUAAGAUUAAAUAAUAGACUAAGCAUGUAGUGACCCUUUUGAAUUUACUCAGGGACCGGGGUUCGAUUCCCCGCGCCUCCACCA
rnacentral:tmRNA from 1 species